AGGAGUGGUGCAAGUAACAAUAGUAUGAUAAAAUCCUGAAUACGAUUCUUGGAGGAAUGAAAGCCUUAAUAAGUUUUUGGAUACAGUUAUUUACAACGUGAAAAACAACGCACAGGGAUUGCCGCUAGAUGACUUUCCAUUAGUUAAUGAGACUGAACAUGUAGAUAAUACAACUUGGCUCAGUAAAAUCUUCACGAUGUAUAAAUUAUACAAUGGAAGCAUCUACAAUAUUACCACAAUAGGACGCUCUAAAGAUUCUUUUAUUUCAUAUAAAGGAAAUGUACUUCAAUUGGAUAUUGGAGUUAAUUUUAAAAGGAUCCAGAUCAAUUAUUACUUUGAAGCGAGUGGAUAUUACAAUUUUUUAUCACAGAAUCUUCUAACCGAGUCCAUUAUUAAUGAUUUAAAAGUAAAUUUUGAAGUGGCCAUGGACACAAAAGCUUUAAAUGCUUCGGUGACAAGCCUGGAUUUUGCUGAUACUGGGUGAGAUUUUUAUUUGUCCAUUUAAGAAUAAAUGGAUUAACUCUGUGAUUUAUUGUAGGCCCAUGGUGAUAAAUUUAAAAGGGUCAGAGAUAUCAACUUGGAUCAUCCAACAGGUUUUGAAUAUCAGUACGACCUGGUUUGAAAAACGUAUUCUCAACGCUGUUAGUAAAACAAUAAUAAAGAUAGUGAAUGAAAUUUUCAAGGAGAUACUUCAAGGAAUCAAGGCUUGAUUUAAGGAUUGUACUAUAUUUACAGAAUAAAAACAAUUUCAGCCCUCCCAAA
rnacentral:misc_RNA from 1 species